rnacentral:rRNA from 1 species
UACGUAGGGUGCAAGCGUUAAUCGGAAUUACUGGGCGUAAAGCGUGCGUAGUCGGUUAUCUAAGUCGGGUGUGAAAUCCCCGGGCUCAACCUGGGAAUUGCAUUCGAUACUGGAUAGCUAGAGUUCGGCAGAGGGAAGUGGAAUUUCCGGUGUAGCGGUGAAAUGCGUAGAUAUCGGAAGGAACAUCAGUGGCGAAAGCGACUUCCUGGACCAAUACUGACGCUCAUGUGCGAAAGCGUGGGGAGCAAACAGG